GGGGGAGGUGGUGGUAAGAGAGGUAAAGGUUGAGCAUUGGAGGGUGGUGUCUCAGGGACCAUAAGGUGUUUUCUCGAAGUCUGUAAACAUAGUUUCUUCAAAAGGUAUAGACGGACAAGCAUCAGUGAAAUGGCCUAAUCGACCACAAGAGUAACAGUAGUGAGAUAAAGGCAGCUCAACACGUGCUCGACCAGCUCUCAAAGUUGAACC